GACGAACGCUGGCGGCGUGCCUAAUACAUGCAAGUAGAACGCUGAAGCUUGGUGCUUGCACCGAGCGGAUGAGUUGCGAACGGGUGAGUAACGCGUAGGUAACCUGCCUGGUAGCGGGGGAUAACUAUUGGAAACGAUAGCUAAUACCGCAUAAGAGUAGAUGUUGCAUGACAUUUGCUUAAAAGGUGCAAUUGCAUCACUACCAGAUGGACCUGCGUUGUAUUAGCUAGUUGGUGAGGUAACGGCUCACCAAGACAACGAUACAUAGCCGACCUGAGAGGGUGAUCGGCCACACUGGGACUGAGACACGGCCCAGACUCCUACGGGAGGUAGCAGUAGGGAAUCUUCGGCAAUGGACGGAAGUCUGACCGAGCAACGCCGCGGGAGUGAAGAAGGUUUUCGGAUCGUAAAGCUCUGUUGUAAGAGAAGAACGAGUGUGAGAGUGGAAAGUUCACACUGUGACGGUAUCUUACCAGAAAGGGACGGCUAACUACGUG
rnacentral:rRNA from 1 species